rnacentral:rRNA from 1 species
UACGAAGGGGGCUAGCGUUGCUCGGAAUUACUGGGCGUAAAGGGCGCGUAGGCGGCCGAUCAAGUCGGGGGUGAAAGCCUGUGGCUCAACCACAGAAUUGCCUUCGAUACUGUUUGGCUUGAGACCGGAAGAGGUUAGUGGAACUGCGAGUGUAGAGGUGAAAUUCGUAGAUAUUCGCAAGAACACCAGUGGCGAAGGCGGCUGACUGGUCCGGUUCUGACGCUGAGGCGCGAAAGCGUGGGGAGCAAACAGG